GUAACGAGCGCAACCCUUGUCCCUAGUUACCAGCACGUAUGUGGGCACUCUAAGGAGACUGCCGGUGACAACCGGAGGAAGGUGGGGAUGACGUCAAGUCAUCAUGGCCCUUACGGCCUGGGCUACACACGUGCUACAAUGGUCGGUACAAAGGGUUGCCAAGCCGCGAGGUGGAGCUAAUCCCAUAAAACCGAUCGUAGUCCGGAUCGCAGUCUGCAACUCGACUGCGUGAAGUCGGAAUCGCUAGUAAUCGUGAAUCAGAAUGUCACGGUGAAUACGUUCCCGGGCCUU
rnacentral:rRNA from 1 species